rnacentral:rRNA from 1 species
UACGUAGGGUGCAAGCGUUAAUCGGAAUUACUGGGCGUAAAGCGUGCGCAGGCGGUUUUGUAAGUCUGUCGUGAAAUCCCCGGGCUCAACCUGGGAAUUGCGAUGGAGACUGCAAGGCUAGAAUCUGGCAGAGGGGGGUAGAAUUCCACGUGUAGCAGUGAAAUGACGUAGAGAUCUGGAGGAACACCGAUGGCGAAGGCAGCCCCCUGGGCUAACACUGACGCUCAUGCACGAAAGACGUGGGGAGCAAACGAAGGA